AUGUUUUAAAAAGGACUUAUUGUUGUCUAAGAACCAGUUGGUUGGUAUCUGUUGAGUAAUGGGCUGAACCACUGAUUGAACACCUAGGGAAAGGACCUGGUCAGCCCUGGGAGCACAGGUGAAGGCAAUUCAUCUGUGUGACUAGAAGGGGUGGAGCCUGGCUGCACCUCUCUUAGACCUCGUUUAAGGGCUGUCUGCCACUGGGGAAGGAUCUCUUUCUGUAGAUCCCUACUUUGUGGAGUUUUCCCCUGUGAGCCUAGAUCUUCAGAAAUGGCGUGCAAAUGUAUUUAACAAUGUGGCUGCAAGAGGAGAAGAGCAAGAGGAAGAUUUCAGGUUUUUUCUUUUCCUAGAAAUGUAUUGGUUGGAAUACUUUCUUGUGUGGAUAAAAUCCAUAUCUGAAACAAUGCUUAAUAGAGGAGCCUACAAAAAGAAGAUGAGUGACCAGAGUAUUUACCAGUAUGUGAUUGGACAAAUGCAUGAAUGCACCUACAGUCAAAUAAAUUUUGCUGGGAUUCUUCUGAAGACACAAGUUUUAUACAUUUGUACAUUUUAAAACAAGAAUUUUAUUAUUUUAUCAUUAUGUGAGCAAUUAACAUGUUCAUGAAAAUCUCUUCAUCAUAGCAGGUCAGGAUUUGCACAGGUGUUUAUCUGUGUGAUCUGCAUUGAUUAUGUUUUUCAGGUGUAUUUAUAUGCAAUAAAACGGUUCUCAGAUAUAUUGUUGUAUAUGAAAAGAUUGAUGAAUGCUAAUCUCAAGACAGUAUCCAAACGUGAAGUUGAGUCUUUUGGUGCCACCUUCUGGUGUGAGCUGUUUGAUAGGGACAGAAUGCAGCUCGGGUUUUUAUUAAUAGAUGUGUUAUGGGGAUGUCGUCACGUCAUGUUUUCAGUAGUGACUUAGGUCACAGUAGAAUGGGAAAGAUAAGAUAGUGAAUUAUAGUAAAUGAUUGCAAAAGAUAUACUUAAUUUAAGCCAACAGUCCUUGUUAUCUAAUAGAGGGGAAAAGGUUC
ensembl:lncRNA